UCUAGGGUGACCAAGUGUCCCGCUUUGUGCGGAACUGCACAGCAUUUUCAUCCCUUUUUCCACGUCCCACCCAUUGAGAUGCUGUCCCGCAUUUUGAUUGGCAGCUAUAAUUUUCAAAAGUUUAAACUCUAAAGGACAGAUGCUAGGAGUUUUGUUUUUUAACUGGCUUUUUUCUAUGUUUGUCAAACAGCGCAGAUGUGCGAUCUCAACCAGAUGAACCUGUCUUGCUGCCGCACUUUGUUGUCAGUUGCCGUAAAUUGUGCCAGUCGCGACCGGUCGCGACACACCGCAAAGCAGACACAAACACUAAAUUAUGGAUUUUGGCGGAGAUAAUGGAAAGUACAGCAAAGAAGAGGAGGUGCAGCUUCAACAAAGACUGGGAAACUAUAUAUCACUGGGUGAAGCCGGUGCAAGGUGAUUCUCAGAGAGUUUUCUGUGAAGUUUGCCAGAGUUCGUUUUCCGUUUCACACGGUGGGGAAUACGACGUGAAGCGACACAGUACAUGCGAGACCCCCCCUCAGCUUUGAGCGUUAAAGUUUUGCGAAGCCAGGGGGCGGGACUACUUGAUUGACAGCCCGGUCUGGAAUGAUUGACAGGUCCUAUGGAGGAGGCAGCAGAGACUCUGCUCUCCUCGUUUGGAUUAAUUCUGAUAUAAUAACUGUUGGUUUAUUUAUCAGUGAAGCAGCAGAACAUUUUCCACAGACAGUUUUCCUGCCCGUUGGCUUGUUUUAACCAGUUUUCUACCUUCGGCUGAUUCUACCAGCAGACACUGAUAGUUCGAGUGAAACUAGCAGUUCCUCCUUAAAGUCAGAGAUUGCAGCAUCUGAGGGCCUCUUCAAAAGAAGACGUAGUUGAUGAAGGCGUUCUGGAGCAGGACCAGAAAGACCACAACCAAGCAGCCUUGAGAUCUUAGGCAGCGUCUCCCUCAGGUCCCUCUCUAUCUCCCCACACAUCCACCAACCACUGGAACACAUCUCCAAAGUUCUGCCGGGCCAGCUCAGCUUCCCCUCAGAAGAAGUUCCACCACCUGCCAGAUGAAGGAGCCUUUUGAGAGGCAGCUGGCAUCGUGAUUGGACUGUACUUUGGUCUGUUCCAAUCCAGCUUCAGCUCCAGAGACGGCAGGCGGGACGAGUCAACGGAGGCCGGAUGGACGAAGGCAUGCAGCUGAGUACAAUCCAGAAAACAACAGAGGAGGAGUGCAGGGCCAGAACACACAGAGUAGCAUCGUAUGUCUCUUAGAAAACAUCAUAGUAUAGCCUUUGGGAUGAAAAAACACCAUCAUAUACAUCAUAUAUUGUACAUAUAACAAGUCAAAGGAAAGAGACAUACAUUGUAGAAUUGUAGUAAUUGUGGGCUGACUGAUUUACUGAUUAUCAGUAUUUUAUUUUUUUACUGAUUUACAGUAAUAAAUAAAUUUUAAAAUGGCGCUACUUUGGCUCUGAGCCUUUAUCUACCUGUGGUCGCUCUGUCUUCUGGAGUGAUUUGAUUGGUUAUACGUCACAAAUAAAACUCCUUUAACUUAACAUCUGUAAACAAAACAAAAAUGUAUCAACAAAGUUUUCUGUUAGAGUUUGUGUUCUUCUAAGUUUAACACCAAGAUUUUAAAUACUUUCAUUUGCUGCAAAUGAAUAUCUACUCCAAACGUCUCACUAAUAAUCAUUAUCAGCCUUAAAAACCCACAAACACCCCUCUAUACUCGACCACACUUAGUACAGUCCGGUUCCCCCUUCUAUAAAUCUGCUUGGAAUCUUCCACUUCCUGUUUGU
ensembl:lncRNA